AUCCGGGUUGCGGACAGUGUCUGGUGGGUAGUUUGACUGGGGCGGUCUCCUCCUAAAGAGUAACGGAGGAGCACGAAGGUUGGCUAAUCCUGGUCGGACAUCAGGAGGUUAGUGCAAUGGCAUAAGCCAGCUUGACUGCGAGCGUGACGGCGCGAGCAGGUGCGAAAGCAGGUCAUAGUGAUCCGGUGGUUCUGAAUGGAAGGGCCAUCGCUCAACGGAUAAAAGGUACUCCGGGGAUAACAGGCUGAUACCGCCCAAGAGUUCAUAUCGACGGCGGUGUUUGGCACCUCGAUGUCGGCUCAUCACAUCCUGGGGCUGAAGUAGGUCCCAAGGGUAUGGCUGUUCGCCAUUUAAAGUGGUACGCGAGCUGGGUUUAGAACGUCGUGAGACAGUUCGGUCCCUAUCUGCCGUGGGCGCUGGAGAACUGAGGGGGGCUGCUCCUAGUACGAGAGGACCGGAGUGGACGCAUCACUGGUGUUCGGGUUGUCAUGCCAAUGGCACUGCCCGGUAGCUAAAUGCGGAAGAGAUAAGUGCUGAAAGCAUCUAAGCACGAAACUUGCCCCGAGAUGAGUUCUCCCUGAGACUUUAGGU
rnacentral:rRNA from 1 species